rnacentral:rRNA from 1 species
AAUUGGAGGGCAAGUCUGGUGCCAGCAGCCGCGGUAAUUCCAGCUCCAAUAGCGUAUAUUAAAGUUGUUGCAGUUAAAAAGCUCGUAGUUGAAUUUCGGGAUUGACACGUCGGUCGUGCCUUAAGGGGUAUGAACUGGCGUAGUCAAUUUCUCACCUUCUGGAGAACCGCGCUGUCCUUAAUUGGGUGACGCGGGGAACCAGGACCUUUACUUUGAAAAAAUUAGAGUGUUUAAAGCAGGCAUUUUGCUUGAAUACAUUAGCAUGGAAUAAUAAAAUAGGACGGCAUGAUUCUAUUUUGUUGGUUUCUAGGAUCACCGUAAUGAUUAAUAGGGAUAGUUGGGGGCAUUAGUAUUCAAUUGUCAGAGGUGAAAUUCUUGGAUUUAUUGAAGACUAACUACUGCGAAAGCAUUUGCCAAGGAUGUUUUCAUUAAUCAAGAACGAAAGUUAGGGGAUCGAAGACGAUCAGAUACCGUCGUAGUCUUAACCAUAAACUAUGCCGACUAGGAAUCAGACGAUGUUAAUUUUUUAAUGACUCGUUUGGCACCUUACGGGAAACCAAAGUGU